rnacentral:rRNA from 1 species
UCGUUGAUUUCACACUGCCGAGAAAAGCCUCUAGAUAGAAAAUAGGUGCCCGUACCGCAAACCGACACAGGUAGUCAAGAUGAGAAUUCUAAGGUGAGCGAGCGAACUCUCGUUAAGGAACUCGGCAAAAUGACCCCGUAACUUCGGGAGAAGGGGUGCUCUUUAGGGUUAACGCCCAGAAGAGCCGCAGUGAAUAGGCCCAAGCGACUGUUUAUCAAAAACACAGGUCUCUGCUAAACCGUAAGGUGAUGUAUAGGGGCUGACGCCUGCCCGGUGCUGGAAGGUUAAGA